AGAGAGAGACAUGCGCGCAUAUCAAUAAGCGGAGGAAAAGAAACUAACUAGGAUUCCCUCAGUAACGGCGAGUGAAGCGGGAAGAGCUCAAAUUUGAAAUCUUCAAGGUUCUACCUUGACGAAUUGUAGUUUAAAGAAGUGUUUUCUGUUGGAGUUUUGGUAAAAGUUCUUUGGAAUAGGACAUCAUAUGAGGGUGAGAAUCCCGUAUUUGACCAUUAUUUCCAGCUUUGUGAUACACUUUCAAAGAGUCGGAUUGUCUGGGAAUGCAGUCCAAAAUGGGUGGUAAAUUUCAUCUAAAGCUAAAUACUGGCGAGAGACCGAUAGCGAACAAGUACCGUGAGGGAAAGAUGAAAAGAACUUUGAAAAGAGAGUUAAACAGUACGUGAAAUUGUCAAAAGGGAAGCGUUUGACACCAGUGUUGUUUUCUCGAAAAUCAAUUAAAAAAGGCAGGAUUUUGUGUUGUAUUGACUUUAUCAGCUUUCUGCACUCUUUUCUUGUCUUUUUUAAUGCACUUUUCGUUUAACAAGUCAACAUCAAUUUCUUUUGUUGUAAAAGGGUCAUUGGAAGGUGGCUUUCUUUUCGGAGAAAGUGUUUAUAGCCUUUGGCCUCUGCAAUCGGAGAGAUUGAGGUCUGCAGCGUAGAUCCUUCGGGGUUAGAUACAUUUGUGCUAAGUUAUAGCCUUUCAUAGACAACUUGUUGACUAUGAUCAGUCAUGUAGCUUACUCGCUUAUGCUAUUUUACCUACGCUUAGGAUGUUGAUGUGAUACUGCGAGCA
rnacentral:rRNA from 1 species